AGCAGCCGCGGUAAUUCCAGCUCCAAUAGCGUAUAUUAAAGUUGUUGCAGUUAAAAAGCUCGUAGUUGAAUUUCGGGGUUCUUCCGUUGGUCAGGCUAACAAGUCUGUACUAGCGUGUAGAAUCUCUACCUUCUGGGGAACCAUCAUGUUAUUAAUUUAGCGUGGUGGGAAACCAGGACCUUUACCUUGAAAAAUUAGAGUGUUCAAAGCAGGCUUACGUCUGAAUACAUUAGCAUGGAAUAAUAAAAUAGGACGGUGGUCCUGUUUUGUUGGUUUCUGAAUCACCGUAAUGAUUAAUAGGGAUAGUUGGGGGCAUUAGUAUUCAAUUGUCAGAGGUGAAAUUCUUGGAUUUAUUGAAGACUAACUUCUGCGAAAGCAUUUGCCAAGGAUGUUUUCAUUAAUCAAGAACGAAAGUUAGGGGAUCGAAGACGAUCAGAUACCGUCGUAGUCUUAACCAUAAACUAUGCCGACUAGGGAUCGGACGAUGUUAAAUUUUAUGACUCGUUCGCGCCUUAGGGAA
rnacentral:rRNA from 1 species